UACGUAGGGGGCAAGCGUUGUCCGGAAUCAUUGGGCGUAAAGAGCGUGUAGGCGGCCAUACAGGUCCGUUGUGAAAACUCGAGGCUCAACCUCGAGACGUCGAUGGAAACCGUAUGGCUAGAGUCCGGAAGAGGAGAGUGGAAUUCCUGGAUGUGAGCGGUGGAAAUGACGCAGAUAUCAGGAAGAACACCCGUGGCGAAGGCGGCUCUCUGGGACGGUACUGACGCUGAGACGCGAAAGCGUGGGGAGCGAACAGG
rnacentral:rRNA from 1 species